rnacentral:rRNA from 1 species
GAUGAACGCUGGCGGCGUGCCUAAUACAUGCCAGUCGAGCGAACAGACGAGGAGCUUGCUCCUCUGACGUUAGCGGCGGACGGGUGAGUAACACGUGGAUAACCUACCUAUAAGACUGGGAUAACUUCGGGAAACCGGAGCUAAUACCGGAUAAUAUAUUGAACCGCAUGGUUCAAUAGUGAAAGACGGUUUUGCUGUCACUUAUAGAUGGAUCCGCGCCGCAUUAGCUAGUUGGUAAGGUAACGGCUUACCAAGGCAACGAUGCGUAGCCGACCUGAGAGGGUGAUCGGCCACACUGGAACUGAGACACGGUCCAGACUCCUACGGGAGGCAGCAGUAGGGAAUCUUCCGCAAUGGGCGAAAGCCUGACGGAGCAACGCCGCGUGAGUGAUGAAGGUCUUCGGAUCGUAAAACUCUGUUAUUAGGGAAGAACAAAUGUGUACGUAACUAUGCACGUCUUGACGGUACCUAAUCAGAAAGCCACGGCUAACUACGUG